GCCGGCCAAAGCAGCAGGGAGUCUCCGGGGUUUUGAAAAGAGGGAGACACCUGUCGGGCGAGCAUGGUACUGCAACGCAGGAACGGCACGUGAGAAUAAAUUAAUUAACAUCUGCAAACAUAUAAUGAAACUGAAGCUACAUCGUGUAUUAAUUACGCAUUAAUCUUUCCAUUGCUUAACCAAUAGAAGGACACGGAGAGACUGGAAUCUAUCCCUGGCGGUAUAAGGAGAAAGGCAUGAUGCAUGCACACACCAGUUCAAUUGUUGAUGUACAGCCAUGGAAAAAAAUAAGCGACAACUCUAUAUUUUUAAACAAAUAUUCAUUUUAAAAUCUUGGUUCUGAGCAGCAGGUUGCUUCCAGGUUCAAAAAUUCUAAGACAGCAGGACACAAGAACAAGGUGAAGCAGGAAUGACCAUAAACCAGCCAGCUGUAUGUAUUAGGGCAGCAGGACGGAAGCAGAGUACCUGAGGAGACCCACACAACACGAGGAGAACAUACAAACUGCAUACAUGCAGAGUAGGUUGGAAUUCUGUCUGCCAGUGAACAGGAAUGACAGUGCUGGGUCCAUAAACGCCACAGUGUCGCACAGCAGCGGGAGAAGGACGACCCAGAUGCGGGCUGUCGGACAAUCACGUUGGAGACUCCAACAGCAGCCUGCCAUCAUGUGUAUGUCCCAUCUGCCUUGAUAUAUCUCCUCCAUCACCUUCAUAUCCCGGUGGAACCUCUCGCCUUGUUCCUCGCUGAAGUCUCCAAGGUUAUCUGGAAAUCUGUUUAAAUGGCUAUGGAGAUGCUCAUAUCAACUCCCAAAUUUCUGAAGUUAGCAAACAUAUCUUCCACCAAUUCUUCAUACUGGUCUGCUCUGUGAUUACCCAAGUAGUUCUUCACAACAGAGACAAAACUCUUCCAGGCCGAAGCCUCAGUGUCAUUCAUGCAUUUGGUAAAUGCAGGCUCUUCUUGAUGAAGUCAUAAUUACAUGUAUUUAUAUAUUUAUUAAGACAGAACUUUUUGGGUAUAAACCAAGACUGGGUUGACAAACUUAUACUGUAACCAACUUCUUUCCUCUGCAAAUUCACAGUUGAAUUCUGGCUUCAAAAAGUCGCUUUUACAGCAUUGUAGGCCUACAGAUUGAAAUACAAAAUAAUUAUAUGGGAUAUUUCAUUACCUAAGACACUGUUAAAGAGUGUAAAGACAGACCAAAAGCUACUGCAUUUGUCAUCACACACAAGUUGCAUUGGGGAAUGCAUUAUUUUCAUAUUUUCAUAAUUUUCAUUAUUUUCAUGUCCAUUAUCGCAAAAACUAGAACCAAUUUAGUAAAAGUAAUGGGAUUUUUGAAUUCAGCACCCUCAAAAUAUCCUAAAUCUAUUCAAAAAACCUUGGCACCUGAAAAAAAAUUGUAGACUUGUGUUAAUCAAUUGUAUGUAUCAUUGUUUGUCCUGAUUACCCUUGUAAUUAUUUUCAGUCAUAUGAAUUAUUACACAUCUCAGCGUACCUCUUAUUUAAAUACAUACAUGGCUCAUUUGAUUCAUAUUCCUAAUUUAUAGAAACAUAUAUUUUGUACAUAAAUAUUUUCUUAUCCUCCUCCAUGCCUCAUUGUUAGCCUGUAUUACUGAAAAUUAUGACAUGCUGAUCAUGUAAAUCAGUGUUUUUCUAACAGCAUUUCCCACCAUUUUUUAUACCAUGAAACAUUUUUAAAGGGCAACAACCCCACAGAGAAGUAUGGACAUUAUCCAGUAGAUAUACAGUACAGUUUAAUCCUACUUCAGCUUCUGCGUGCCAAUAACUUAAGAAAGCUACUCCAAACUCCCACAGCUCAAGGGUUGUGCUAUUAAGGCUAAUAUAUACUUCUGUAUGUAAUGCAUACUUCUUCAUAGAAUGUAAAUGGUCUGCAACAAUAUAGAGUGGGGAUGAUCUUGUACUAACUGUAAUUGUGGUCAAAUCUAUGAAAGUCAUAAUGUAGUUUUACAGCACGAAUAUAAACUUUUCUUAUUGGAUUCGACAUCACAGAUAUGGAUUUAAAAUGCUUUGGGUGUGAAAAUGUAGCUUACUACAGAACUGUGAUGAUACAGUCGACAUACUUCAUUGAAUAACAAUACGCAUUACAGGUUGAAGAAAGUAGUACAGUGUAUGCAGUUUUGGAAACAGAUUUUGUGCAGUUCUCACCAGAUGCAGGUGAUGUUUUGGUGCUCUUCUUUUAGAUAUCUGUGGCAUAAUUUAAAUAAAUGUUGGCUGAUGUAAACAAAGGCAGUUCUUAAAAACAAUUGUCAGUCAUUUCAAAAUGAACUUUUGAAAUAGAAAUUUUAACUAUAUUGACUCAUUUUUAGUUGUGUUUUUAUAUGUUUAGUGUACCUAUUUAUUCCAUGGUUCAGUUUCAACGGUUCGUCCAAUGAUGGCUAUUGUUCAGUAGCAGUCCUGGAAACUUGUUUUCUGCAGUUUAGCUUUAGUUAGAAUGCAGGAAAUGUUUCUGUUGUCACAGUAUGUAAUGUGUUUUUCUAAUUUAUUACAAUAUAUGUGUAAUUUAUGCCACUGACCAAUAGUUAUAGUGCUGCAUUCUGUUAUGUUCUUUUAUAAAAUGAAUAUAUAAGCCAUGGCAGCUAUGCUUAAUAAAGGUUUUGUCAAAAUAAAA